GCCACCGCCCGCGGAGCGGGAGGGGCGGAGCUGGCUCUGAUCGGGCUCCCGAGCGGGGAGGCUGCCCAGGAGGAGGUGCGGCGGGUCCCAGCGGCCGAGGUUCGGGCGGAGCGACUGGAGAGGCUGGCAGGUGGUGCUGGCAGCGUGGGGAGAGCGGCGCCGUGGGCUGGGCGCUCUUGGCCAGAGGAGUUCACUCCAUGCGUGCGGGCCAAGCACGGCCCCUGCGAGCCGCCGACAUGAAGAAAGACGUGCGGAUCCUGCUGGUGGGAGAACCUAGAGUUGGGAAGACAUCACUCAUUAUGUCUCUGGUCAGUGAAGAAUUUCCAGAAGAGGUUCCUCCUCGGGCAGAAGAAAUCACCAUUCCAGCUGACGUCACCCCCGAGAGAGUUCCAACACACAUUGUAGAUUACUCAGAAGCAGAACAGAGUGAUGAACAACUUCAUCAAGAAAUAUCACAGGCUAAUGUCAUCUGCAUAGUUUAUGCUGUUAACAACAAACAUUCUAUUGAUAAGGUAACAAGUCGAUGGAUUCCUCUCAUAAAUGAAAGAACAGACAAAGACAGCAGGCUGCCUUUAAUAUUGGUUGGGAACAAGUCUGAUCUGGUGGAAUAUAGUAGCAUGGAGACCAUCCUUCCCAUCAUGAACCAGUAUACAGAAAUAGAAACCUGUGUGGAGUGUUCAGCAAAAAACCUGAAGAACAUAUCAGAGCUCUUUUAUUAUGCACAGAAAGCUGUUCUUCAUCCUACAGGGCCUCUGUACUGCCCAGAGGAGAAGGAGAUGAAACCAGCCUGUAUAAAAGCCCUUACUCGUAUAUUUAAAAUAUCUGAUCAAGAUAAUGAUGGUACUCUCAACGAUGCUGAACUCAACUUCUUUCAGAGAAUUUGUUUCAAUACUCCAUUAGCUCCUCAAGCUCUGGAAGAUGUCAAGAAUGUAGUAAGAAAACACAUAAGUGAUGGUGUGGCUGACAGUGGAUUGACGUUGAAAGGUUUUCUCUUUUUACACACGCUGUUUAUCCAGAGAGGGAGACAUGAAACUACUUGGACUGUACUUCGACGAUUUGGUUAUGAUGAUGAUUUGGAUUUAACACCUGAGUAUUUAUUCCCCUUGCUAAAAAUACCUCCUGAUUGCACUACUGAAUUAAAUCAUCAUGCAUAUUUGUUUCUCCAAAGCACCUUUGACAAACAUGAUCUGGAUAGAGACUGUGCUUUGUCACCUGAUGAACUUAAGGAUUUAUUCAAAGUUUUCCCUUAUAUACCUUGGGGACCAGAUGUGAAUAACACAGUUUGUACAAAUGAAAAAGGCUGGAUAACCUAUCAGGGAUUCCUUUCCCAGUGGACGCUCACAACCUAUUUAGAUGUACAGCGGUGCCUAGAAUAUUUGGGCUAUCUAGGCUAUUCCAUAUUGACUGAACAAGAGUCUCAAGCUUCAGCCAUUACAGUAACAAGAGAUAAAAAGAUAGACCUUCAGAAAAAACAGACUCAAAGAAAUGUGUUCAGAUGUAAUGUAAUUGGAAUGAAAAGCUGUGGGAAAAGUGGAAUUCUUCAGGCUCUUCUUGGAAGAAACUUAAUGAGACAGAAGAAAAUCCGCGACGAUCAUAAAUCCUACUAUGCAAUUAAUACUGUUUAUGUAUAUGGACAAGAGAAAUACUUGUUGUUGCAUGAUAUCUCAGAAUCAGAGUUUCUAACUGAGGCUGAGAUCAUUUGUGAUGUUGUAUGCCUGGUAUAUGAUGUCACUAACCCCAAAUCCUUUGAAUACUGCGCCAGGAUUUUUAAGCAACACUUUAUGGACAGCAGAAUACCCUGUUUAAUCAUAGCUGCAAAAUCAGACCUGCAUGAAGUUAAACAAGAAUAUAGUAUCUCACCUACUGAUUUCUGCAGGAAACACAAAAUGCCUCCACCUCAAGCCUUCACUUGCAAUACUGCUGAUGCACCUAGUAAGGAUAUCUUUGUUAAACUGACAACAAUGGCCAUGUACCCAGAGGAUCAUUACAGAGACAGACUCUCCCGAGACAUGGGCAACACUGAUAGAAUAGAGAAUUUGAGAAAAAUCUGGGUCUUUCUAAAAACUGCUUUCCAUGCCCGGUUACGCUGUAUGUGCACCUGCAACAGGUGUACAUUUUGCAUCUGUCAGAACUUCCUCAACUCAGACUUGCUGCAAUCUGUAAAGAACAAAAUCUUCACUGCAGUUCUUAACAGUUUUAGUUCUGCCCUUUAGAACAACAUACGACUAUUCUACUCCCUCAUCAACAUAGCAAUCCUUCAGAUAUUGAAGAUGAUCAUCAUGUCUCCCCUAAUUUUCUCUUCUCCAGGCAUGUGACACAAGCUGACCUCAAGAGCUCCACGUUUUGGCUCCGAGCAAGUUUUGGUGCUACUGUUUUUGCAGUUUUGGGGUUUGCUAUGUACAAAGCAUUAUUGAAACAGCGAUGAUUAAAAAAAAAUACUGGCCCUACCAAAAACAGAUACUUUUAUGUACAUUCUGAAUGCUUUAAAUUCUGCUAGAAAUAUUGAGAUAUUUAUACAUGCAGAGUUACUUUAUUAAUAUUUGUAAUUCAUGCAUAAGAAUAUUUUAAUGAUAGUAAUAACUACAGUAUUGGCUAGCAUAUGGAAAGAAAACAGCAUCAUAGCCAAACUAAAAUGGCUACAUUUCAGAGGCCAAAAGGGAAUAUUUUGUAAAUAAUGUAUAUAUUCAGGUAAAAUAUGGUCUCCCAAACUGAGUUCUAGAAAUGAUGUUUCUAGACAUUUCUACAUGGUAUUGUAAAUGCUCACUUGGCUCACUCUCCUAGGUUUAAGUCAUUCCAGAGAUGAUAUUUACUCAUGGAUCACUUAUUUAUUUCACAUUUACUCAAAAUGAUCCUUUGGGUACAUGAGACACAAUUUGCCAUUUUCUCUCUAUUUUUAAAAACACACAAGUCAAUGUCUGCUUACCAACCCAAUUUACUUUCAGUCACUUAUGAUAGGCUAGCCUUGAAGCCGUUGUGCAGUCUAGAAAAUUGUAUAGCUGAGUGUAUACUCUCCUUUAAGGAGGCAGUAAAGUAAAAGCAAUGAGCUGAGGAGUUCUCUAUGUGAUUAUGUUGCUUCCUUUGUCAGUAUGUGAAAUUUUAUAGCCCUUUCAAUCAAAUGAGAAAAAUAAUUUGUAUAUUAUCACUGUUUUUAGUUUAAAUAAACAAGUUACCCUUACUACUGUUGGAAUUUCCUCCCAAAGUAUAAAUCAUUCUAUAAUGGCUGUGUCUAUUAUAGUAUAUUACAGUAGCUGCAUGUGUCAUGAAGUGUUCUAUAUCUGCUAGAAUAACCUAGAAGCAGCACUUUUUUAAAUGGUAAAAUAAAUCUAAUGAAUAUAAACUCUCAUGAUAAACCUAUUUUUUUCCAUCAUUGACCUUUUCAAGUAUUUAAAUAAAUAAAUGCUGUGUACUGUGA